rnacentral:rRNA from 1 species
UUGUCUGGAUUUCAUGGGCGUAAAGGGUGUGUAGGCGGUUAAGUAAGAUAGUGGUGAAAUGCCGGGGCUCAACCUCGAAAUUGCCAUUAUGACUAUUUAGCUAGAAUGAUGCAGAGGAUAGCGGAAUACCCAGUGUAGAGGUGAAAUUCGUAGAUAUUGGGUAGAACACCAGAGGCGAAGGCGGCUAUCUGGGCAUUGAUUGACGCUGAGGCACGAAAGCAUGGGGAUCAAACAGGAUUAGAUACCCUGGUAGUCCAUGCUGUAAACGAUGAAUGCUAGUUGUUGGAGGAAUUCAGUGACGCAGUUAACACAAUAAGCAUUCCGCCUGGGGAGUACGGUCGCAAGAUUAAAACUCAAAGGAAUUGACGGGGACCCGCACAAGCGGUGGAGCAUGUGGUUUAAUUC